CUGAACAAAAAGAAACAAAUGCAUACUGCUGCCAGAGCAAACUCUUUCUUUUUAUUGUUUAAUAUCAUCAGGGCCAUGUCUUUGUUUGCUGUCUACUUCCCCAAAAUGAAUACAUAAAUACUCCAACAACAGCAGUCUUAGAACGAAAUUAAUCAAUUGGUGCCGGUCCAUCUGUGCACUGACUAGAAAGAAACCGUUAAUACUACAUACACACAAGCGGAUCAAUCAUGCUUCAUCCCUAUCUCAAGAACCAAGACACAGACAUGAAAAACAUCCCAUCCAUCACAUGAAAAACUUUUUACAGA
rnacentral:lncRNA from 1 species